GGUGAGAUGGCUCAAUAGGUAAGAGCACUUGCUUUUUAAGCGUGAAGACCUUGAUUCAAAUUCCCGUCACCU
rnacentral:tRNA from 1 species